UCUUCAAAGCACCUCAACCAGUGCCUGGUACACAGUAAUUAUUCGAGUGCAGCAGGGCAUCAGGCGCCUAGAAGAUGCUCAGUCAUCAGGGAACGUGAAGAGACAACUUUAAGCAGAGGCCUGUGCUAAGUGCUGGGGGCACACAGAUGACUAAAACAGAACACAUUUCCUGACUUCCAAACCCCCAGGUCAGAGCAAUGAACCUGGACACUGUUGGAGAUGGAAAAAAAGAACUAAGAUGGAGUCAGAGAAAAGGGACCCUACCUGUAAUUGCUGGAUGUGUAAAUGCCUUAGACAGUUCCACCCUGGAAAAAGUAAUCCCUUCCAAAUGCUGAAACCAGGCCAUCAGGAUCAGCUCUCUUCUUCUACCUGAGAUGGGUGCAAGCUGGGUAAAAAGACAUCAGGGAGAAAGACGAUUUAUGCUUGCUCUUCGGUGCACCACUGGGAACCACUGGGACAGAAUGCAAUGCAAGGUUCUCCUUCUGUGUAUUACAACACACGAACAGGCUAAACCAGAUUUCCCUCCCUAAGAAAAAAAACUAAAGCUCUUUAAAAGCACCAUUUAUGUACAAUAGCAAAUAUGUUCAUUGUAGAUCACUUUUAGCUGUUCAUUAAACCAAAUCCCCUGGGGACAUUUUAUGCCAAUGCUUUGGAAAUUAGUCCUUGUUACUUUAUGUAAUUGAAAACAAUAAAGCUAAGUGCCUGUUACACUCUUCUGUAAUUUGAAACAGGGAUUUGCAACCUCAGGUCCUAUCUCCAGGCCCUUCACUGGCCUCAGAGGUAAUGAUGGGAAACUGUGUGUUAUAUUCAUUAUAUCAGAAAACCUUGCAGAAAUGGCACAUUUAACUUGAAGCUGUAUGAGCUCACUAAAAUGCCAAGUCUCUGUUUUUUGACUGAGAUAACAUCAAUUUAGUACAAUAAUUGAUUGUCUAAAAGGAUAAUGAUUGAUAACUGAUUAUCUCAUGCUAUCUGGGAACUUUAAAUAAUAGUAAUUUAAUGUCUUAGAUUAAUAUAAAUGGGAUAAAUUAAUGAUGCUAUAAGACUUUCAAAAAGAAGACCCUUUAAGAAAUAGGCUUCACGUAGAAAAAAACUAUUAACAGUUUAAAAAUCUAGCCAAAAAGUGGAAACAGCCCAAAUGUCUGCCUCCUGAUGAAUGGAAAUAUGAAAUGUGGUAUAUCCAUUGUCUUAGUCUAUUUUUCACUGCUAUAACAGAGUACCACAGACUGGGUAAUUUAUAAAGAAAAGAAGUUUAUCUGGCUCAUGGUUCUGCAAGCUGAGAAAUGCAAGACUACGGUCCAGCAACUGGUGAGGGCAAUCCUAUAGCAGAAGGCAAAAGCAAACAUGUAAGACAGACAGAGGAAAGCCAAACUCAUCCUUUUAAUCAGUAAUCCACUGCUGAGAUAACUAACCCACUCCCUCCAUAGUAGCGUUAAUCCCCUCAUGAGGGUGGAACCCUCAUGACCUAAUCCCUUCUUUAAAGUUCCCACUUCUUAAUACUGUUACUAUGGGAAUGAAGUUUCAACAUGAGUUUUGGUAGGAAUAUUAAACCAUAGCAUCCACACAAUGGAAUAUCAUUCCAUGAUAAGGAAUGAAGACUUGAUAGAUAUUGUAACAUGAAUGAACCUCAAAAAAUUACGCUUAGUGAAAGAAACCAGUUACAAAAGACUAUAUAUUAUGAUUCUAUUUAUAUGAAAAGUCCAUCCCGUGCAAAUCUGUAGAGACAGAAAGUAGAUUAGUGAUUAUCUAAGGCUGAGAUGCAGGAGAAUGGGGAAUGACUCUUAAUAGCUAUGAGGUUUCUCUUUUGGAUAAUGAAAAUUAGAUUGUGAUGAUAUCUAUAUCUAUAUAUAUAUAUAUCUGUAAAUAUAUAAAAACAAUGGAAUUGUACACUUAAACAGGUAAAUUUUAUGGUACAGGCAUACCUCAGAGAUAUUGCAGGUUUGAUUCCAGACUACCACAAUAAAGUGAAUAUUGCAAUAAAGCUAGUCACACAAAUUUUGUUUCCCAGUACAUAAAAAAGUUAUGUUUAUACUAUACUGUAAUCUAUUAAGUGUUUAAUAACAUUUUGUCUAAAAACAAUUUACAUGCUUUAAUUGAAAAAUACUUUAUUACUUAAAAAAUGCUAACAAUCAUCUAAACCUUCAGCGAGUCUUAGUCUUUUUGCUGGUGAAGGGUCUGGCCUCAAUGUUGAUGGCUGCUGACUAAUCAGGGUGGUGGUUUCUGAAGGUUAGGAUGGCUGUGGGAAUUUAUUAAAAUAAGACAAUGAUUUACCGCAUUGACUGAUUCUUCAUGAAAAGUUUUUCUGUAGUGUGUGAUUCUGUUUGCUAUUUUAUCCACAGUAUAACUUCUUUCAAAAUUAGAGUCAAUCCCCUCAAACCCUGCCACUGCUUUAUCAACUAAAUUCAUGUAAUAUUCUAAAUCCUUUGUUGUCAUUUGAACAAUGUUCACAGUAUCUUCAACAAAUGUCGAUUUCAUCUCAAGAAACUACUUUCUUUUCUCAUUCACAACAAGCAAUUGGGAAAAUUUUAGAGAAUAUAUUCAAGUAUAAAGAAGAAAAUAUUACCACCACCACCUAGUAAUAACCUUUGUUAACAUUUUGGCAUGUUUCUUUCUAAGGUUUUAUAUAUAUUUAUGUUUAUUUAUGACCUAAUUAAGUUCAUACUAUAAAUUCAUUUUUGUAGAUUACAAUAUCAUGACCAGCCUCCAGUUGGCAAUGGCUGCUAAAAAGCCUAGAGUCAAAAGCACAAAGCCUUACAGCAUUCAUUUUAUGGACAAAAUACUUACAGCUUAACUUUAUGUUUUUCUAUUCAGACUUCUUUCAUCCUAUUUUCCAUGGUCCUUUAUUUCCAUAUUUAAUAUAAUUUCAUUAUAUGUAGUUCUAUAAAACAUUCUAAAGGCUUUCUAAAAUAAGUAUUUUCAUCAUAAUCAUUUUUAAAUAUACAGUUCAGUUGUGUUGAGUGUACCCUCAUAGUUGUAUGACAGAUCUCCAGAACUUUUCCAUCUCAAAAUAUUGAAACUCAUUGAACAACUCUCCAUUUUCUCCUCCUCUCGUACUCCUGGUAACAACCAUUCUACUUUCUGUUUCUGUGACUUUGACUACUUUGGAUACCUCACAUAAUCGAAAUUAUACAGUAUUUGCCUUUGUAACUGGCUUAUUUCAGUUAGCAUAAUGUUCUCAGUUUAUUCACAUUGUAGCACAUGACAAGAUUUCCCUUUUUUUGAGACAGAGUCUCGCUCUAUUACCCAGGCUGGAGUUCAGUGGUGCAAUCUCAGCCCACUGCAACCUCCACCUCCCAGGUUCAAGAAAUUCUCAUGCCUCUGCCUCCCGAGUAGUUGGAAUUACAGGUGCACAUCCCCAAACCCAGCUAAUUUUUGUAUUUUCAGGAGAGACAGGGUAUUGCCAUGUUGGCCAGGCUGGUUUGGAACUCCUGACCUCAAGCAAUCUGCCCACCUCAGUCUCCAAAGGGCUGUGAUUACAGGCAUGAGCCACUACACCAAAAAGAAAGAUCGAGAUUUCCUUUCUUUUUGAAGAUGAAUAAUCCAUUGUUAUAUUCCACAAUAGUCUUCCCUUAUCCACAGGAGUUAUGCCUCAAGACCCCCAGCAUAUCCCUGAAACUACGGGUCUACUAUGUUUUUUCCUAUACACACAUACCUAUAAUAAAGUUUAAUUUAUAAAUUAAGGCACCAUAACAGAUUAACAACAAAGCUAAUAAUAAGAUGGAACACUUAUAAAAAUAUACUGUAAUAAAAGAGUGUGAAUGUGGUAUCUUUCUCUCUCUCUCUCUCUCUCUCUCUCUCUCUCUCUCUCAGUAUCUUACUGUAUGUGAUUUUUUGGACCACAGUUGAAUACUGGUAACUGAAACCACAAAGAGUGAAAUCAGAAAUAAGAAGAGACUAUUGCACAGCAUUUUGUUCAUCCAUUCACCCAGCCAUGGACAUUUGGGUUGCUUCCACUUCUUGGCUAUUGUGAAUAAUACUGCUAUGACAUGGAUGUGCAAAUCUCUUUGAGAAUCCCCUUUCAAUUAUUUUAGACAUAUAGACAGAAGCAGGAUUUCUGAAUCAUAUUAUAGUUCUAUUUUUAAUUUUUUGAGGAAACCACUAUACUUUUUUCAUAGUAGUUUCACCAUUCCCACCAACAGUGCACAGGAUUACAAUUUCUCAACAUUCUUGUCCGCACUUGUUAUUUUCUGUUUGUUUGUUUAUAGUAGCCAUCAUAAUGGAUGUGAGGUGAUAUUUCAUUGUGAUUUUGUUUUGCAUUGUUCUAAUGAUUAGCAGUGUUGAGCAUCAUUUCAUAUUCUUGUUGGUUACUUGUAUAUCAUCUUUAGAGAAAUGCCUAUUCAAGUUCUUUGCCCAUUUUUGAUCAGGUUGUUUUUUGUUGUUGAAUUGUAGGAGCUCUUUAUAUAUUCUGGAUGUUAGGCACUUAUCAGAUAUCUGAUCUGCAAAUAUUUUCUCCCAUUCACUUAUUAAUUCUGUUAAUUGUGUCCUUUAAUGCACAAAGGUUUUAAAGUUUUAUGUAGUCCCAUUUGUCUAUUUGUGGUUUUGUUGCCUAUGCUUUUGGUGUCACAUAUAAGAAAUCAUUGCCAAGUCCAAUGUCAUGAAAACUUUCCCCUAUGUUUUCUUCUAGGGAUUUUAUAGUUUUGGUUAUUAUGCCUUGGUCUUUAAUACAUUUUAACUUAAUUUUCAUAUAUAGCAUAAGAUAAACGCAUAAUUUCAUUCUUUUGCCUGUGGAUAUAUAGUUUCCCUUGAACCAUUUGUUGAAGAGAUUGACCUCUUCCCAUUGAGUGGUCUUGGAACCCUUGUCAAAGACCAUUUUACCAUAUAUGUGAGGGUUUAUUUCAGGCCUCUCUCUUCUAUUAUAUCAAUCAACAUGCCUGUUUUUAUGCCAGUAUCACACUGUUUUGAUUACUAUAGCUUUUUAUAUGUUUUGAAAACAGAAAGUGUAAGACCACCACCUUUGUUUCUUUGUUUGUUUGUUUGUUUUGAGAUGGAGUCUCACUCUGUCACCCAGGCUGGAGUGCAGUGGCGCAAUCUCGGCUCACUGCAACCGCAGCCUCCCGGGUUCACGUGAUUCUCCUGCCUCAGUCUCCCAAGUAGCUUGGACUACAGGUACGUGCUU
rnacentral:lncRNA from 10 species